GAUCAAGAUCAAACAAGAAAGGAACAUGAUUCUGCACUUCACCAUAUAAAUAGUAGGGGGAUGGACAAACAUGCAGAGUUAAACACGUUGAUGAAAGAAGCAACACAAACAUGCUGUAGCAGUAGGGGUAAGCUAGCAUUCAGCAGCAAGAAAAUAUUCGAAGCACAGUAGUUAAGUAGGUCAAGUAGUCACAUAAGAUCAAAGUGAAGAAGAACAUAGUAUCAGAUAAGAGAAAUCGGAAGUAAGUAAAGGUCUCGGAGUAGCAAUAAGUGAGAAAACUUCUAAAAGAAAUAUAGGGAUUUUACAGUAGUCGAGUUUUCAAAUAUGGAAAGAACUAAAAAUUAAACAAGUUAAAUAAAGAAAAAAGAGACAGUAACGAAGAACAAGUGCAUAUUUAAACAGACAAUUUCAGAACUCG
rnacentral:lncRNA from 1 species